GCGUGAAGUUGGAAUCGCUAGUAAUCGCGGAUCAGCAUGCCGCGGUGAAUACGUUCCCGGGCCUUGUACACACCGCCCGUCACACCAUGAGAGUCGGGAACACCCGAAGUCCGUAGCCUAACCGCAAGGGGGCGCGGCCGAAGGUGGGUUCGAUAAUUGGGGUGAAGUCGUAACAAGGUAAC
rnacentral:rRNA from 1 species